AUUGAACGCUGGCGGCAGGCCUAACACAUGCAAGUCGAGCGGAUGAGUGGAGCUUGCUCCAUGAUUCAGCGGCGGACGGGUGAGUAAUGCCUAGGAAUCUGCCUGGUAGUGGGGGACAACGUUUCGAAAGGAACGCUAAUACCGCAUACGUCCUACGGGAGAAAGCAGGGGACCUUCGGGCCUUGCGCUAUCAGAUGAGCCUAGGUCGGAUUAGCUAGUAGGUGAGGUAAUGGGCUCACCCUAGGCGACGAUCCGUAACUGGUCUGAGAGGAUGAUCAGUCACACUGGAACUGAGAC
rnacentral:rRNA from 1 species